rnacentral:rRNA from 1 species
AUUGAACGCUGGCGGCAGGCCUAACACAUGCAAGUCGAACGAGUGGCGGACGGGUGAGUAAUGUCUGGGAAACUGCCUGAUGGAGGGGGAUAACUACUGGAAACGGUAGCUAAUACCGCAUACCAUCGGAUGUGCCCAGAUGGGAUUAGCUAGUAGGUGGGGUAAAGGCUCACCUAGGCGACGAUCCCUAGCUGGUCUGAGAGGAUGACCAGCCACAAGGGAACGGAGACACGGUCAAGACGCCACCGGGAGGCAGCAGUGGGGAAGAUUGCACAAUGGGCGCAAGCAUGAUGCAGCCAUGCCGCGUGGAUGAAGAAGGCCGUCGGGUUGUAAAGUAAGUUCAGCGGGGAGGCGUUACCCGCAGAAGAAGCACCUGCUAACUCCGUGCCAGCUGCCGCGGUAAUAC